rnacentral:rRNA from 1 species
AGAGUUUGAUCCUGGCUCAGGAUGAACGCUAGCGACAGGCUUAACACAUGCAAGUCGAGGGGCAGCACAGGUAGCAAUACCGGGUGGCGACCGGCGCACGGGUGAGUAACGCGUAUGCAACUUGCCUAUCAGAGGGGGAUAACCCGGCGAAAGUCGGACUAAUACCGCAUGAAGCAGGGGCCCCGCAUGGGGAUAUUUGCUAAAGAUUCAUCGCUGAUAGAUAGGCAUGCGUUCCAUUAGGCAGUUGGCGGGGUAACGGCCCACCAAACCGACGAUGGAUAGGGGUUCUGAGAGGAAGGUCCCCCACAUUGGUACUGAGACACGGACCAAACUCCUACGGGAGGCAGCAGUGAGGAAUAUUGGUCAAUGGCCGAGAGGCUGAACCAGCCAAGUCGCGUGAGGGAUGAAGGUUCUAUGGAUCGUAAACCUCUUUUAUAAGGGAAUAAAGUGCGGGACGUGUCCCGUUUUGUAUGUACCUUAUGAAUAAGGAUCGGCUAACUCCGUGCCAGCAGCCGCGGUAAUACGGAGGAUCCGAGCGUUAUCCGGAUUUAUUGGGUUUAAAGGGUGCGUAGGCGGCCUUUUAAGUCAGCGGUGAAAGUCUGUGGCUCAACCAUAGAAUUGCCGUUGAAACUGGGGGGCUUGAGUAUGUUUGAGGCAGGCGGAAUGCGUGGUGUAGCGGUGAAAUGCAUAGAUAUCACGCAGAACCCCGAUUGCGAAGGCAGCCUGCCAAGCCAUUACUGACGCUGAUGCACGAAAGCGUGGGGAUCAAACAGGAUUAGAUACCCUGGUAGUCCACGCAGUAAACGAUGAUCACUAGCUGUUUGCGAUACACUGUAAAGCGGCACAGCGAAAGCGUUUAGUGAUCCACCUGGGGAGUACGCCCGCAAACGGUGAAGCUCAAAGGAAUUGACGGGGGCCCGCACAAGCGGAGGAACAUGUGGUUUAAUUCGAUGAUACGCGAGGAACCUUACCCGGGUUUGAACGCAUUCGGACCGAGGUGGAAACACCUUUUCUAGCAAUAGCCGUUUGCGAGGUGCUGCAUGGUUGUCGUCAGCUCGUGCCGUGAGGUGUCGGCUUAAGUGCCAUAACGAGCGCAACCCUUGCCACUAGUUACUAACAGGUAAAGCUGAGGACUCUGGUGGGACUGCCAGCGUAAGCUGCGAGGAAGGCGGGGAUGACGUCAAAUCAGCACGGCCCUUACAUCCGGGGCGACACACGUGUUACAAUGGCGUGGACAAAGGGAAGCCACCUGGCGACAGGGAGCGAAUCCCCAAACCACGUCUCAGUUCGGAUCGGAGUCUGCAACCCGACUCCGUGAAGCUGGAUUCGCUAGUAAUCGCGCAUCAGCCAUGGCGCGGUGAAUACGUUCCCGGGCCUUGCACUCACCGCCCGUCA